rnacentral:lncRNA from 1 species
UUCCUGUUUUAGCAAACUUCCGACAACAAAAUAGACAGCAUUUGGUGAUGAUGAACAUCCCAGUUGCCACACAGGCCAGCAGGAACCCAAGCACAUCCAAAGAGUAGUACUGGAACCAGGAGAGGUAAUGGGCAGCCACCCGGAGGUGUUUAGCUCCUUUGUGGCGCAUGACAAACUCUAUCCAGAAGACAGCUUGGUCCAGAGGCUUCACUGGAUGUUCAUGGUGAAUUCUUGAUAAUCUCAUAACAUUCUCUUUAUAUCUAUACAACAAUCAUAAGAUACCAAUAUUUUAAAAAAGUUAAUUGGCCUAAAUUUUUAAGUCCCUGAAAGGUUCUUUGAAAGUUUCACAAAACUGGGUCAAAUAAGUGUCAUAGAACAGCCAUAGAAGUAUUUUUUUUUUUUUUAAUUCUGUUGUCUUGAGAAAUUCAGUUUCUAAGAUGGUGAUUUAUUUAUUUACUUCCAUUUCAAAGUUCAAAUGUAAUUAAAAUGGUGAUUGUAUAGAAUGGGUUUGAAGUCAUUCAAGCUCCUUAAGUUGGAGAUUUGUGUUGGACAAAUAUUUUCCAAAGUGAAAAUGGAAGGUCAGGUGGGAAAGGUAAUAUUACCUAGUGGACCAACUGGAAGUAUGCAAUUUUCAGUGUGGUAAGUGAUAUGGUUAAACACUAUUUAAAAAUGAUCAUCUUGAUGUUUUUGAAGAAGUAUUGGGUCAUGUUGGGUGAAAUGACAUCGAUCAAUUCUAUUUUGCUCUUCUAUUCUACCUGUGGCUGUGUAUUUUCACUCAAUACCCAGAAAGAUCCUUUUUGAUUAAACACAUGUCAGCUUCUAAUACUGAUGUGACCAAAAUUUUCAUAUGGCUCCCCAUGUAUUUAGAUUAAUAUACAGUUCAAUAUUUAUAUACUUGUUUCCUCACUUAAUUACUGCAUGUUUGAACAAUAUAUUAUUUACUAUUUUGUUUUUUAAAAAUGUAGUGAGUAGGUUUUAUGGCAUAAAUAUACAUUCAUCACUUAAGCUACAUUUAUCAAGUUCUACAAAUUUUAUAUGCACUUGUAUUAAUUAAUAUUUAUUAAUUUUAAAAAUAAUUUCUGAGUUAUUACAAAGUAUUCAAAAUCAUUUAUUAUUACACAUUCUGUGUGUACUUUCUUUUUUAAUUUAGACUUGUUUACUCUUAUUUAGUAGAUGCAUAAAAUUUAGAAUGGUAUUGUUUGGAAUGGCUUAUGAAAUAAUAUUUGAAUAAUUAUUAGUAUUUAUUUUUAGCGGUUAUUUUGAACUAUUUUGGUAAUAGUAGUAGAAGUAAAAUAGCUUACAUUGAUAUGGCUUCAUUGGGACUUGUCUUAUAUUUUCACUCAUGUUUUUAUUGUAUACUUAAAUUUAUUAUGUCUUAUAAACAAGGUUUAGUUAGUUAAGUUAGUUUUAAAAAUAUGGUCUUUGAUAAUAAUUCUGGUUUUUAUAAUUAAGGUAAACAUUAAUACCUUCACAUUUGAACUAACUAUUUAAUGUUAGAUUCAUUUUCUGUUUUUCUGACCUGUGUUUCAUUCCCAUUCUAUUUACUUCUUGAUGCUUUAAAAGCACUAUUCCAUUGAAUCUUAUUACUAUUUUGUUUUUGUUCACGCAUUAUUAAAGUGUUCCUUUAGGUGAUGUUUUCUUUAUACAGUAAUAUUACUGAUCAUUGUGAUGAAUGUUGAAUUGAUUGUAGAUAUGCUAGGCACUUUGUACUUUACAUUGCAUUUCCAUUUGAAUUGGGGAAAUUUUGAAAAUUAAAGAAUUAUUUAACUAAAAUUAAACAUUUUCAUGCUUCAAAGUGCACUAUGAAGAAAUUGAUGGAUCCCUCUAUAGUAGAUGGAUUUUCCACUUUGAAAUGGAAGAACAUGUUUGCAAAUCACCCAGUAUCUCACUGUAAAACUGAUUCCAUCUCUUCUCAUUAAAUAAUUUGAACCAAGAAUCAAAAUAAAGAACGUAGAGCAUAUAUUUUACCCGCUCAACAAAUGUCAUUUGAUUGCUUAAUCCUGAAAAUAUAACAGGCAUAUAGGAAGGAGGAAAAAGUAGUACCCUACUAUACUUUUUAAUUUUGUAACCAGGUGAUAAGCAGAGACUCUAAACAAAUGUUUUUUGAAGAAUUUCCACCAGCAGCUCAGCACAGGGACAAAUGGCAUCUGAAAGAAUGACAUCAAACCUUGAUUCUUGUAGUUUUGCCAUAAGUUUCUUGUUCAAAACUGCAUCUCUACAUAUAGUCUCUACUUAAUCAGAUAACUGACCCAUAAUUUUUUGAAAUCUUGAAUAUUUCCAAAAUGGAUUUUUCACUGUUUCAUAAAUAAUUAUACCAAGUGAUUGAGUAUAAAAAUUCUCUAUAUAUUCUCUUGAAAAUGAUGAAGCAUAGUUCUCAAACUUAAUGGCAGAUGAUUUGUCAUCACCCACAAAAAUGGAACCUGAAGGUCUAAAAACAGUCACCUCAUGCCCCCUCUGUGUGAGCUCCUCCAGUAUUGUCUUCAUAUUGAUCUAAUGGUUGUAUUCCAUUGCCCACACCAGCACCUUUCCACAACUUCCAGAACCAAAGUGUAAUAGCUGUAACAGGAGCAGAACUACAGUCAUUUUCAUAGACACCCUGAUGAAAUGCAAGGCUUCCUUUCACAGUGAAUUCCCUCUGCUCUUGCAAAUAUCCAAGAAGAAAUAAUUAUUUGGUUAAAAAGUAACUUGUACGCAUAAAAGUGAAUACAUAAGUGAACAUUUAGUAUACCUGGAUGCCAAGUAGAAAAAUCAAAGGUGACUUUGAAAAAUCAUUAGGUGACUUCCUGCUUGUGUAUGUGUAAUGACUCUUUCAUGAUUAUAUGUGCUUUCCUGCAGUUCAGAAUGGAUUAUCCUGCAUGUGCAAUACACCUAUCUUAUGUUAAAAGUUUUAGAAUAGUGUGAGGAAUGGUUGCAAGUGAGAUGACUUGUUCCUAUAGAUUCCUUGGCUGGAACUAAAGUAAAUACAUAGUUGAAUCAAUAUUUCUUAUAGAUCAUUGUUUAACAGAUUGUUUUUUAAAGUAAAAUCAUUGUUUGCCUAUAGUUCACAUAGGAUGAAACUCACUAUUUUUAAGUAUACACUUCAAUUGUUUAAUUUCAGAGUAGAAUCUCAGAAUUGUAAACCUCAGUUAAUAUUCAAUGUUGAGGCAUUUAACAAUCCAAACUUUCCCAGUACCUCUAACCAUUCCACAUCCCUCAUUCCUAGGUAACCUGUAAUCAAUUUCCUCUCUCUAUAAAUAAGCUUAUUCUGGUGGCAUUUCAAAUAAUUGUUAUAUAAUAUAUGGAUUAUGAUUGAUUUCAAUAUUUUCAAAUAAUUGUCAUGGGUUUUGGUGAUUCAUAUCAAUACUUAAAAUUAUGUCACUUAUCGAUAUUCCAACAUGUGUCAAGACUUCAUUCCUUUUCAUGCUGUGACAGGGCAUGAGCUAUGCCACUGAACUGAGGCAACCAUAGAAAUCCUUUCUCUCCUGAUUUUUAUGGUCAUGCUGGAAAUAUUUUAUACAUGUUGCUCAGAGUAGCACACAUACAUUUAUUGAAGGGACAGUAAAAAGGAAAUAGGGAUGCUAAGGCAAUUCUAGGUGACUUUGAACUAUGCUGACCUGUUCUAGUUGCAAUCUGCUCCUAAAAAAAUUUUAAGGUUACAGGUAAUUAUCCUUACCUCCUUAAGUUUUGUAACCAGGUCUUUGUAAAGCUCAUAAAUUUCCACCUCUCCCUUCCCACAAGGUACCUUGUAUUCUUAUUGGCAUUUUGGACCUGCAUUUCUCUUGCAGAUAACAGCUUCUUUGCUGAGGAAUAUAGCAUAAUCUAUUAAGUUAAACCACCAGUUAAAUUGUGUGUGUGUGUGUGUGUGUGUAAAAAAAAGAAAGUAUGUGGGUAUCAGCUCAAUGGUCCUACUUUAUAGAAUUAUUACCUUAAACUCUUGUGCCCACUGUUAAUGUUUGUGUGCUUCAUAUCAAAGCCAAAUAACAACUCAUAGUGUAAAAUAGAUCACAUUUGUUUUUCAUUCCUAAGUUUCUGCACACUAAUUUUUUUCCCAACUUUUGGCUAUUAUGAAUGAUCUUAUUUAUUAAUACUUAUUUAAUAGUUUUAUUUGCACGUUUUCAUUUCUAUUUGGUAUAUAGGUUAAAUUCAAAUUCUUGGGUCUUUUGAAAACUCUGUUUAUCCUUUGAGGGCCAGAAUGACUCCUUCCUCUAACCAGCAUUGAAUGAGUGUUUUAAUUUCCAUUCUAACCAGCAUUGAAUGAGUGUUUUAGUAUUUCACAUUAUCGCUAACACUUUAUUAUUAAUAUUAUUAUAACUAUGUUAUGAGUAAUGUAGUCAGAUAUCUCAAUAUGGUUCUUUGUGAAUUUCCUUUUAAUACUGGUAAUAAUAUUUUUCCAGGUGUUUGCAUAUGUUUUCAUUGACAUUUUGAAAAUUUUUCUUGAAGAUAUGUCUAUUCAGAGUUUUUGGUCAUUUUUAAAUUUUGUGAUAUACUUAUUAUUGAGUUGCUAACUUUCUUUAUAUGUUCUUGAUGCAAAUCCAUUACCAGAUGUAUGAUUUGGAAAUAAUAGUCAUUUUUUCAUUUAUUUUAUUGAUUGUGCUCUUUCAUGUAGAAAAAUUUUAAGUUUCAUGAAGUCUAAUUUUUCCAUUGAAGUUUAUUUGUGCAUUUGUACCACAUAUUACCAUCUUCAGAGUCAUAAAUAUUUUAAUAUUUAUUUAUUUAUUUCUAAUCAGCCCCAAUAUGUGGUUCUUUUAUUGCAUGCUUUUGAAACUAGUCUUAAAAAUUAGAAUAAAGUCCUUGUGUUCCCUGGUGUUCAAGAUUAAAAACCCGAGAAAUGCUGAGGCAAGAAAACAAGUUUUAUUUAAAUGAUAGUACAGAC